UACGUAGGGUGCGAGCGUUGUCCGGAAUUAUUGGGCGUAAAGAGUCCGUAGGCGGCAUGUUAGGUGAGGUGUGAAAUCCCCCGGCUCAACCGAGGAAUUGCGCUUCAAACCGGCGUGCUUGAGGAAGAUAGAGGUGGGCGGAACUGAUGGUGGAGCGGUGAAAUGCGUUGAUAUCAUCAGGAACACCGGAGGCGAAGGCGGCCCACUGGGUCUUUUCUGACGCUGAGGGACGAAAGCUAGGGGAGCGAACGGG
rnacentral:rRNA from 1 species